AGUUGGUAUUAGAAGAGAAU
rnacentral:misc_RNA from 1 species